GUUGCUGCAUCAACUAAUAAGGAGGUUGAUGCUCAAAUCCCUAAUUAUCCAAAUCUCCCCCCUCAGUUGAUCUGCCAGCUUCAUAAUGUAACGAUGCAUGCAAGUUUACACUUCACACAUAGAAGGGACCAUCAUGUAGUCUUCUAAGAGGUGCCGUGAGAUCAUUUCUUGAUGCUAAUGCAGGCCGAUGUAGAGACUGAUGAAGUUUAUGCCCAAAUGACACUACAGCUGUUGAGCCCGGUAUUAAUCACAUUUCUCUCUUCUUGUAGCCUGGAUUCUGAUAACAGGUUAUGUAGGUUACAAUAUUGAAAUAAUUAUUAUGUAUUCAUCGUGAGGUUCCAAUGACACAAAGAGCAAAAGGAGCCUUUUCUUCCAAUCGAGCUGGGUGCUGCUAGCAAGCAGCCGACUAAUUACUUCUGCAAGACUUUGAGUGCAAGUGAUACAAGUACACAUGGUGGAUUUUCUCUUCCUCGACGUUCUGCUGAGGAAGUCUUCCGUCCAUUGGUAACGAUUUCUCUCUGCAGCCUCCAUGCCUGGAGCUCAUUGCAAAAGACCUACAUGACAAUGAAUGGAAAUUUCGCUACAUAUUUUGUGGUAUGUUAUAAAAAGGCCCUCCUCUUUUAUGGUAACGAAACCCACAGUCCUGAUUCAGUCAACAACCGAUACGAGCACAAAAAAGAACCCCCAACGACACGACCCAGGACCGGCACCCAGUCCCAUCUUCCAUCUCCAGCGCAUCGCCACCCUUGCCACGCCGCCGCGUGCCGCGUCCCCUGCCACGCCGUCGCACCCCGCCUACCCCGUCGAUGCUCCUCCCCUUGUCCCAGGCGCCCGCACCUCCGCGGCCUUCAUCUGCCGAUUGGUGACACGGCCGAGGGCGCAACCAGCAGGGGUGUUGCCUAGGGUUGGCGGCGGAGUCGCUAGCGGACAAGCUCUGGCUGUGGACACGCGGAUGGGAGGGGUCCAGGAGCCACCACAACAACCAGGAGAGUCUUCGUAGAGAGCAGAAACAUAGAGGACUCGCAAGGCAGCAGCGGCGAGCGGCGACGAGCCCGACGGUCUUGCCAACCUCACCCACCUCGCCGAUAAGUUCUCGAUACCUAGGCAGGUUGGAUAGGUAGUUGGCUACUACCAUGUGAAACCAUCCAAUUAUUCUUACAUAUUCAGGUAUGCAGUGUGACAUUAUGAGAAUUGGCAAGCAGACUCUGUGCUUGUUAGGAGAUUGUGCUUGCUGGCGUCAAGCUAUGGACUUGCUAGAAAAAUAAUAUAAAGGUGUGUUCGGUGCUUAUAUGAGGCCCCAAAAUAUGAUUAUACGUACUACUUUGUUUAUUCUUUGUAUUUGUAUGGAUAUUAUCGAACGGAUCUAGAGCAUAGCCAUUCCAUUAUAGAGAGAGGUGGGGUUUGCUACUUCUAUUUCUUAAUGAACGGUUGCUAGAUAUUGCUGAUGUAAUAUAUAUAAUAUAGAUAUUGGAUGACCAACUGCACAUUCGUAUGA